GAAUGGGAAACCUUGAACUGAUAAGAGAAAGCAGUUUUAUCUUUUGACUUCAGGCUCUCCAUUUAAAAUAUGAUACACAGCAAUUUAAUCCAUGGUGUAUUUAAAUCAACUUUAUUCACCUUUUAUUCAUUUUGUGAGAUGCUCCCCAUUUUGUGUUGUAAUAGCCUUUUCAGGAUUAUAUUUUGAACCAUGAGUUGAUAUGAUGGCAUAAAAUGUAAAACAGUCCUUUAGAAAAUGACAGUUACUUAAUUUUACUCCUAGCUCCUCUGUUCUAUCCUGCACAAUACGCCAUAUUUGACACUUUAGCACAAUAAGCAUUAGCUCACAAAUGCUGCAAACGUGGAGAAAGGAAAAUAACACAUUAUAAAUCUUGCUGUUUCAGUUCUUAUGGAUUGGUGGAAUUGCCAGUAAUCCAACAUCCUGCUUUACUUUAUUGUAAUUUAUCAAUUUAUGCUGAUAAUCCCCAUCUUUAUAAAUGAUGAUGAUUUUGAAUAUAUUGCUUCCCUGGACAAAACUGUUCAAAACGUGUACAAAUCAUUUUGUGUCUUGAAGCACAGUGCCCUUGAAGUAGGAAGGGGCUGGCUUGCUGGCCAUGCUUAUCAGAGAACAUAAACUAACAGUGUUUUUAGUGAUUGACAGCCAAAGACUUAGCUAGGGGACUCCUGCUGGUCAUGUGCAUGUAGAGCACGGACCCAAGAGUGUGGCUUCUCUGUGAUUGUACGCCAUCAGAGAACAAGCGUUACAGGUAACUUUUCUUUGUGUGCAGUACAGAAUGGUAUAUUUUUUUCUUUAAAAAAAAAAUUCAUGACAUGGUUUCAGUGGAUUAGUUUAUUGCAAUGGAUAAAAGUGGAGUGGAUUUUUUUUUGUUUUGUUUUUAAAGUACGUGUUGUUUAACCUAGAAACAAGUGGUGUUGGUUUGAACCACAUGAGUUUCAUAUCAUUUGUAUUGCCUGAAUUAGCAGGGAGAGUGUUUACACUAAAACUGUUCUUGCCAUAGUGGGGCGCUUUUUGCUUUUCACUUUCUUCACUCCUUUCCCCUGAACUGUUCCUUAUCCUUUAACAGUAAUGGAGUGAAUGAAAUUCAGAAUGCUUCUGAAACAGCAGCUCUUAGGUCAGAUUAGCACACAAGACAACUUUU